rnacentral:lncRNA from 1 species
AUCUUCUUGCUAAAUAAAACCGCUUCUAUAAAGUUUAAAUGAAUACUAUUUCUAUCAUCUUUUAUGACUAAAAGUUUAGAUCUAUCAUAUUUUAUGACUAAAAGUUUAGAAGUAUAGUUUAAGAAUAUUCAAAAGCUUUUGUUAAAAAAAAAAAAAAAAAAAAAAAAAAAAAAAAAAAAAAAAAAGAUUAAUUUGAGAAGUGAGAAGAGUAAUUUUUCUUAAAAAUUUCACACAAAACCUCUGGGCUAGGUCCAUUCUAUGGGCUUUAUAUUUUGCAACUAAUCUACUUUGCAAGACAAAGAGAACAAGGAAAUUCCUUUUUCGACCCCUUUAAUUGCUCACAGCCGCU